rnacentral:rRNA from 1 species
AUGAACGCUGGCGGCGUGCCUAAUACAUGCAAGUCGAGCGAACGGACGAGAAGCUUGCUUCUCUGAUGUUAGCGGCGGACGGGUGAGUAACACGUGGAUAACCUACCUAUAAGACUGGGAUAACUUCGGGAAACCGUAGCUAAUACCGGAUAAUAUUUUGAACCGCAUGGUUCAAAAGUGAAAGACGGUCUUGCUGUCACUUAUAUAUGGAUCCGCGCUGCAUUAGCUAGUUGGUAAGGUAACGGCUUACCAAGGCAACGAUGCAUAGCCGACCUGAGAGGGUGAUCGGCCACACUGGAACUGAGACACGGUCCAGACUCCUACGGGAGGCAGCAGUAGGGAAUCUUCCGCAAUGGGCGAAAGCCUGACGGAGCAACGCCGCGUGAGUGAUGAAGGUCUUCGGAUCGUAAAACUCUGUUAUUAGGGAAGAACAUAUGUGUAAGUAACUGUGCACAUCUUGACGGUACCUAAUCAGAAAGCCACGGCUAACUACGUG